rnacentral:rRNA from 1 species
ACGAACGCUGGCGGCGUGCCUAAUACAUGCAAGUCGAACGGCUUUUCUAUGGAAGCUUGCUUCCACUGAGAAGAUAGUGGCGAACGGGUGAGUAACACGUGGGUAACCUGCCCAUAAGAGGGGGAUAACAUCCGGAAACGGGUGCUAAUACCGCAUAGUUUUCUUGAUUGCAUGAUUGAGAAAGGAAAGACGGCCUUUGUGCUGUCGCUUAUGGAUGGACCCGCGGCGUAUUAGUUAGUUGGUGAGGUAACGGCUCACCAAGACGAUGAUACGUAGCCGACCUGAGAGGGUGAUCGGCCACAUUGGGACUGAGACACGGCCCAAACUCCUACGGGAGGCAGCAGUAGGGAAUCUUCCGCAAUGGACGAAAGUCUGACGGAGCAACGCCGCGUGAGUGAAGAAAAGGUUUUCGGAUCGUAAAACUCUGUUGUCAGAGAAGAACAAGUUGGAGAGUAACUGCUCCAGCCUUGACGGUAUCUGACCAGAAAGCCACGGCUAACUACGUGCCAGCAGCGGC